rnacentral:RNase_P_RNA from 1 species
CUGCAAAGUGGAGCUAUCGUGUUCUGCAAAGGGCAAGGAAAGUCCGGACAGCAUAGAGCAAACUCAUCCCGAUAACGUCGGGAGGUUCUGAGUAAUCAGGAUUAAGAAAGUGCCACAGAAAAUAACCGCCAUAACAGGUAAGGGUGAAAAUGUAGGGUAAGAGCCUACAGCUUUGGUUGGGAACAGGCAAAGCGGGUAAACCUUGGGUGCUGAAAUGCCACGUAUAGAAAUCAUUUGGAGCGGCUCGUUCCAGCCUCAGCUUCGGUUAGGGCGGGUUUCAGGGUAGGCAGAUACAUCCGAUCAGUAAUGGGCGGAGCAGAUAAAUGAUAGCAGCCUGAUUGUAUCAGGCAACAGAAUCCGGCUUAUGAAGCUUUGCAGUUUU